rnacentral:rRNA from 1 species
AUUGAACGCUGGUGGCAGGCCUAAAACAUGCAAGUCGAACGAGUGGCGGACGGGUGAGUAAUGUCUGGGAAACUACCUGAUGGAGGGGGAUAACUACUGGAACCGGUAGUUAAUACCGCAUACCAUCGGAUGGUCCCAGAUGGGAUUAGCUAGUAGGUGGGGUAAAGGCUCACAUAGCAGACGAUCCCUAGCUGGGCUGAGAGGAUGACCAGCCACACUGGGACUGAGACACGGUCCAUACUCUUACGGGACGCAGCAGUUGGGAAUAUUUCACAAUGGGCGCAAGCCUGAUGCAGCCAGGCCGCGUGUAUGAAGAAGGCCUUCGGGUUGUAAAGUUCUUUCAGCGGGGAGGCGUUACCCGCAGAAGAAGCACCGGCGAACUCCGUGCCAGCAGCCGCGGUAAUUC